rnacentral:rRNA from 1 species
CUCGAACCUGUUUGAGCUAAAAUUUUUAUGUUUAGCACUAACUCUAUGCUGUUGCAUCAUCAAGGGAAUAAAAAAUUUUAGCGGCUACAUACCUACCGCAAUCAGAGAUAGCUAGUUUCUCAUCAAAUUAAUUUUCGUUAAGCAAGCUUUAACUUAUCCUAUCCAACUUAAAAAGCCUUGUAAAAAAAAGAAGGCUAACCUUCUUUUUCAGUCUUACUUACCUCUCCUAUUACAUUUAUAAGCCUUACACCAGCCACUAUAAAAAACUACGAUUUUGUUUAUUGAUAUUUUUAUUUAUUAGUAUUUAUAAAAUGAGAUAUUUUUAUUAAUAAAAUAAUAAAAACAAAAAAUGUUUAAAAUGACUACUUUUCUUUAUUUUCUCUCCUUUUUUCUCUUCCUCUUAAAUCAUUCUCUUUUCUUAUUAUUUUUUAAGGAACUCGGCAAAUCUAAGCCUUGCCUGUUUAAUAAAAACAUGUCUUCUAGAUUUAAACUAUUAGAAGUCCAGCCUGCCCAGUGAAUUUUUUAACGGCCGCGGUAGCCUGACCGUGCUAAGGUAGCGCAAUCAAUUGCCCUUUAAUUGUGGGCUAGUAUGAAUGGCUAGACAAGGGCUUUACUGUCUCAAAAACCUUAAUGAAAAUUGACCUUUAGGUGCAGAGGCCUAAAUCUUAGUGAAAGACAAGAAGACCCUAUCGAGCUUUAAUUUUUCCUGUUACUCUAUAACAAAAUAAAUUUUUAUUGGGGCAAUAAAGGAACAAAAAAAGCUUCCUUCUUCCUUCUAGUUAAACUAAAUUAAAACAGAAACAUUUUUAAUGCACCUAGGUAAAAGCUACCGUAGGGAUAACAGACUAAUUUUCCUUGAGAGUCCACAUUGACAGGAAAGUUUGGCACCUCGAUGUUGGCUUAAAAAACAGUUAUGACGCAGCAGUCUAACUUCGUAGGUUUGUUCAACCUUUAAAAUUUUACAUGAGCUGAGUUUAGACCGACGUAAGUCAGGUCAGUUUCUAUCUUCACUAUUUCUUAUUAAACUUAUCAUUCGUACGAAAGGAUUUUGAUAA